AGAUUCCUUUUAGACUAUUCAUCUUCGUUAGACUCUAUUGACUGUUAAGUUCACACGAACUUCUGUAACAUAGUACAUAGUAUUUUUUUUUUUACUCUUUAAUGAUACUCUUUGAUAGAUGAUAAUUCUUUGAUCGGUGGAAACUGGUCCAAAAGUUCGUUUUCAUUGAAAAUAAAAUUGUACGAUUAACGAUGUGACCCAGUGUAAGCUGGCCGAAUUAAGCUGUCACUUUGACACUUCAACGACCGUAAUCCGUACCAUGAGUGGUUCGUGUUAUCGAAGUGUGUUAUUCUAUUAAACUCGUUACGCGGCUAAAGCGAGACACCAGUUUGCUCGAGUUUGCGUUACUAUAUUCCGAGUAGUGCCUCUCGGACUGGUCACGAAAUUUGGGUUUUCCAAAAUCGGGACGAAGUUGGAAGAACCUGACCUGCCGAAGUUGACGUUCCUUUCUAUCGCAAUGAUUCUGCAGACGGAUAAGAGGUGGAGAAGAAAGGACGAGAAGGAAACGGAAGGAGAAGAAGUAAAUGGAGGGAAAGACAGGACGAAGAGGAGUUGAUGGAGAUAGGUAGAAAAGGAUAAGGAAGGAAAUAGGAGAAAAAGGAAAAGAUGAGAUGAAAUGGAAGGAAGAAGGUGAAGAAAAGUGGAGAAGAAAACAAGACAAAAGUGGAGGAAGAAACUGUGGAGGAAAAGGGAAGGAGAGUUUCUACGAAGAAAUGAAAUGAAAGAAACAACAGAAGAAAAAAGUAUUAAAUAAUAAAAGUAGAAAGUAAAGUAAGAAGAAAAGUAAAGUAAAGAUAAUAUUAUAUAUAAUUAAUUUCGGAAAAAAUAGUUUUGCAUUAAUUUGACUUUCAGUUACAGAAUCAUUCAUUAAGUAAUUAUAAGACGCACAGUAUAAAUCCUGUCUUUUCAUCGCUAUGGAUUCGUCAUAUUUGAUAUUAUGAAGUAUUAUACAUAUAUAUAUAUAUAUAUAUAUAUAUAUAUAUAUAUAUAUAUGUGUUUAAUCCUUUGUUGCGCGCAAAUUACGCGUGAACUUCAAAGUACAAGCGUGUGUACAGUUGUGUAGUUGACAGCUAAACGCGAUUGGAUCUCAAGGUGCAAACGGGCCACGUUUAAUUAGUUGAUGGUGUCGCUUCUUUGAUAACGCGUUGUUACUGGUACUCGUUCAAUUUUCUCCGUUACGCGUUUGCUUCCCCUUCGUCUUGAAUUUUUUUAGAGAAGAAGAAUAAAUCAACUUUUGCUACUGCUUUACGAAUUGUUUAACAACGAACUUUUUUCAUCAGGAAUAAAUUCUAUUUGAAUUUCUAUUGGAAUUAAUUUCUGUUACAAUUACAGAACAUUUUUCAAUUUUUAUGAAACUUAAUCUCUAACAUAAAUAGAGAAUACAUUUGAAAAUGAGAAAACAUAAUAUAUGUAUACAGGAGAAUAAAUUAACUCGUUAAAAUGAAGCCUCCAGGAAAUGGAAUAAUCGAUCAGGUGGAUAUAAUAAAAUCAUUUCAUGCGAUUGAAGAAACAGUCUUUAUUGAUUACAUUUAUCGAAUACAAUUUUAAUCAUCACAUAUGUGUAAUAAUUAUAACAACAUCCAUUGAUUGAUAAUUAAUAUUCAUCGGUUUGAGACGAUUUAUCGUAAGAGAAGAUCUGAAAUUUACAUAAAAACGAUACUUGAGACCCGAUGCACACAAGCGACGCGAUGUCACCAUGCGAUUCGGCACGUAACACAUACAUGUGCAUAUACCUAUCCUUAAUCGUGCAAUGCACAAGAGCGACAUCGCAUUGUCCAUCGGUGACAAUCGUACAACGACACCACAACGAUGUCGCAUCGCUCAUGUGCAUCAGCUGUAACUCUAGUUCAGCAACAUUUAACACUCAGGAAAUUGAAUAUGAUGUUCUAUCAAUUUUAUUGAUCCAAGAUAGACGAUUUGUUCUGAUUUAUUUUUAGUUUUUUGCAAAGAUAUUACUUCAUCACUUAAGAGAUUCUAUUACUGCUGUAUAUAAUCAUAUUUCGAACGGAAUAGUCUUCUCUUAAAGAGUCUAAAACGUUCACAAUAUGAAAAAUAUAUAUCUUUCUUCUUGCCUACUUUUUUCUUCUAAGGUUAGUACUCUUUGUAAAAUAUUUAAAAAACUAUACGAGUUAAUCCCUUCCACGAUUUUUGCAAUACUAAGAGAAAUUUUCGCCAAUAUAUUUGACUAUCAAAAUACGUAGUAUGAAAAUAUCUUUACAAUUUAAAAAGUUCAGAAAAUAUGAGAAAUAUUAUAAAACGUACAAUUAUAUCAUUAUGAAUGUAAAAUUAUAAUUAUAAAUAUUUCAGG